rnacentral:rRNA from 1 species
UACGUAGGGAGCAAGCGUUGUCCGGAAUCAUUGGGCGUAAAGCGCGCGUAGGUGGCCAUGUAAGUCCGCUGUGAAAGUCAAAGGCUCAACCUUUGAAAGCCGGUGGAUACUGCAUGGCUAGAGUACGGAAGAGGCGAGUGGAAUUCCUGGUGUAGCGGUGGAAUGCGCAGAGAUCAGGAGGAACACCAAUAGCGAAGGCAGCUCGCUGGGACGUUACUGACACUGAGGCGCGAAAGCGUGGGGAGCGAACAGG